rnacentral:lncRNA from 1 species
AUCACAUACCAAGACAACAUUGCAUAUUUUCAUUCCAUCUACUAUUUUCCAAAACAUACCAUAUUUGAAUACUUAUACACAAUCAAAACAUUGUACCAAGUUAAGCCAAAUCACAUGGCUUUAACAUAAACCACAAAAUGUACCAAACUCACCAUCUUAAGUAAGUAUAACUAUCAUCUUUAUAGAUAACCUAUACAUGUCAUAUUUACAUAUAUCCAUAAGUUCAAAGGUACCAAUCGACAACUGGAUAGUAUGAUGCGUAACUCUGACUUUAUCCGAAUCGAGCGAGCUAUCGAACCUUUAUAAAACAUAGAAAAGAAACAGAGUAAGCUUUAUAGCUUAGUAAGCCCGUAUAAUUUAGCAUUUAACUUACCAUUUACACACAAUCAAACAAUUAAACAAAGUAUAUCAAAUUCACUUGCCAAAUGCCUAUACACAAGCAUUCAUCAACAAGUUAGUCACAUAAGUAUAUGUAAUCAUCUAUUAUAUCAAUUUAAUACUCAAUACAUUGUAUCAUAUCAAAUUCAUAUAUCAUGUACAUCAUUUGUAACAUUUCACUCUCAAUCAUAUAAACAGUAAAUCAUUCGAUAAACAGUAAGUCAUCCAUUUAAACAGUACUUCAUCCAUAUAAUAGUAAUUCAUCCAUAUAACACAUAAAUUUUUCACAUAACCAAUAAUAAAAUUUAUACCUGUUGAACCUAUUAGAAUAUCGAUAGAUACAUGGGUAAUACACACUACGUGUAUUAAUCGAUAAUCCAUCAAUUCAUCAUCAUAUUCACUCUUUCGAGCUAUGAUCGGUAAGCUCCUCCUGAGCUGAUGGACAGUAAGCUCUAUUGAGCUGAAAUAGUAAGCUCUGACGAGCUGAGAACAAUAAGCUCUUACGAGCUGAUAUAUUAGUAAGCUCAUACGAGCUGAGGUGAGUCCGCAACAUAUGCAGGAUCUCAACCUAAACAGUAACCCUAAUAACAUGUCACUCGUAUCUUACGAAUUCCUACGGUUCAAAUGGGGCUCGAUAACCAUCAGACUAUAUCCAUAAGGCAUUUGUAUUUCAAGUAAAUCAUUUAUUCAAUUACAUACAUUCAUUUCAAAUAAUUAUAAGUAUUUAAAAGUUCGAUUCUAAUUAUACGAAGUUACCUCGUAUCGCUCAAAUAACAAAUAUCUGCUAAUCGUCAACCUUUCCUUUUUCCCGAUUUAGAUUCAAUCCUUACUUAUCUUGAUCUAUUUAUUAUCAAAAUCAGCUUAUUUAAUCAACUAUUUAUUCAAUUUAGUCUAAAACACACAUUAGGACUAUUUUACACAUUUUCCCCUAAACUUUCACAUUUUUACAAUUUAAUCCUUAUCACAUGAAAUUGCAAAUUCAUGCAAUUUAGUACAAUUUCAUGCUAGCCGAAUAAACUACAUGUUACUAGCAGCCCAUAUCUUCAAUUUAUUCACACUUUUACCCACAUAAUUUUACAUUUUCAUAAAUUAAUCCUUUUUUGACAUUUUUGUCAAAAAUCACUUUACAAAACUAGUAAAUCUAUCAAUAAACCUUCAUAAUCUAUCACAAUUCAUCAAAUUACUCAAGCAUUCAACAAUGGUAACAUGAUAAAUCUUUAACAAUUUUGAAAUCUAGGGUACGGGCUAGCUAGAAUAUGAAGCAAUGAUUACAAAAAUAUAGAAAUCAUGAAAAACCGAGCAAAAAUGGCACCUAAAAUUUUAGCUUUUCUUCUUACCAAAUUCGGCUAAGGAAGAUGAUGAUAAUAUAAAAUGGAUUUUGUUUUCUUUAUUUUAACAUUUAUUAACUAUUUUACCAUUUUAACCUUAAAAUUAAUACAAAAUUUCAUUUAUGCCAAACUAAUAACAUCCACUAACCAACUAAUAGUGUAACACCCCAAACCCGGCCUAGACGUUAUGGUCAAAUCUGGUGACGUCACAUGGAAUGGAAUUUGAAAAUCGAAUUUAUCAAGUUAAAGCUGUUUCUGUUUAUUAGCUUUUAUUUGUCUCUCAUCAAUUUCAAAACUUAUUUCCUCGCUAAUUUGAUUCGAUUGAAAAAAAACAUAUCUCGUAGCGGAAGCUUUUAAACCGUGAUGUUUGAAGAAAACCAUUUGCAGUUAGGAAAAAUGUUGAUUUUAAUUAAACCAAGUUUUCGUUGCAGUUCAAAAUCUCAUGAAAACAAUUAAAAAUCCAGAAUAAAUGCAAACUGACCAAAAGUCCCAAAAGUCCAAUUUACAUAAAAAAAUAACCCAGAAAAUAAAUAAAAGAUAAAUACCAUAUCUGAAAUUAAAGUAGUUCAUUAAUCAUGUGGUCACCGUCAAGUCCUCCGCCGCACCGAUCCGUCUAUGUGUGGGGAUUACCUGUACAGUUAAGACAAUGGGUGAAUUUAUGUGAACUCAGUGUAUAAUCCCCAUAGAAAACAUACAUACAGUCAAUCAUAACAAACCGUCAAAUGCAGUCUGGGCCUAAGCCCAUUACAGUUCCAAUAGAAAUUUGGGCCUUAGCUCAAUUCAAUUUCAGUAUUCAGUAUCAGUUAGCACUAGGGCCUUAGCCCAUCAAAAUAUCAGUCAUGCAUACAGUAACCAGUAACAGAUUCCUACCCACCAGCCUCUAUACACCAUCUCCAUCCAUCCCCACACUCCAUAUGGGGUUCAAAAACUCGCACCCAUCCCUACACUCCAAUUAGUACCGAAUGCAGCACAUGAUUAGUAGAUUUGUAGCUAAGCUACCAGAUAUUAGGCUUAAGAGCCUUUCAGUACACUUCCUAUGGUCAUCCCAACCUAAUGCAAUACAGCAUACAAUAAAUGACAUGCUAUUACAUAAUUAACAGUUUAUAUACAGUUCAGUAUACAUGCAUAGAAGCAUCAUGUUCAGUACAUACAUCAUGCAUUCAAUUUACGCAUAUAGAGGUCCAAGCAAUGCUUACUAACCCCAUAGUAGGUUCACAGUCGACUUGGGAGACCCGUGCAACCUUAAGAAACUUUUUUGUUAAAUGGACCCACACACUCAUGUGGCCUGCCCGUGUGUGCCCACACACCCGUGUGGCCCACACGGCCUAAUUUGGUCUUGGUCGUAUAGAUCACACGGUCUGGCCUAAAAUUCCACACGCCUAUGUGAACUACCCGUGUGGCCCACACGACCCAAAUCAGUCUUAGCCCGUGUGUCACACACGGCCUACUUGGCUAUCACAUGGUCGUGUCCUACGCGCAUGGCCUGGCCCCGUUGAUCACACGCCCGUACCCCAUCACACAGCCUACCAUACAGGUAACCACACGCCCGUGUGGCGUCGAUAGUGAGGUUUUUAGCUUUCAUCGAAACCUCAUUUUCUACAUUUUCAGGUACACACCUAGUAUCGAUUGAUGCUAAAACGAUCCCUGAGCAUUCCAGAACCUAAAAACUAGCAUUCCAACACCCAAUUUCAGUAACAUUAUCAAAGAUCAAACAGGAUUGUAACGACACGUUCAUCUAUUAACUAUUGAUAAUCAUACCUUUAAUCGAAACGAGAAUCCCACCCACUUAACUCGUCGAUUCCAGACCUUCUGCCCCUCGAAUAUGUCCUAAACACCAAAAGAGACCCUUAGCAAAACGAUUCGUCAAACAAAUGAAAACUGAACCUACCAAAACUUAUAUCAGAUGUGAAUGGAGAGUGGAAAAAAGGCAGAUUUUCAGUAACCGAAAGGAGGAAAAUGAAAAAAAAAGGACAAUGAGAAAGGGGAGAUGAUCAGUUUUUCUGCAGAGAGAAUUUUGGGAAGCUAAUAACUCAAAUCCCGCUACCUACUCUAUCUCAACCACCUACUACUCAGAUUUUCAGUGCAACUCAAACUCCCAGCCAUCAAACCGAGCAAAAAUAUUCCCCUUUGCCCAUGCAGGGAUUCAAACACCAGGCCUCCAGCAUACUAAUACUCCACUUAACCACUAGACCAGCAGGCCCAUUUUGACAUGUACUUACAAAUACUUAAACUUAAGCCUACUAAGCGGGGUUUAGGCUUUAUUUAGAUGAAUACCAAAAUUUAGCUAAAGACUUAGCUUGAACUUAGGGCCUCUUACACACACCCAGACACUUAACCAUUGAAUCAGAUACACAUUUGUGUCAAAAUUUUACAAAAGUCAAAAAAAAGUUUUUGGGGCGUUAAAAAUGGUAUAUUUAUCAAUUAAAGACCUUUAAUUUAAUGUUCCAUAACUAUUCAACACUUUUAGUUAAUAGAACACAAGUUUUAUGCUUUACGCGAUUUAGUCCUUUUUACCAAAUUGAGCAAUUAAACGAUAAAUUUUUUUACGAAAAUUUUACACCAACAUGAUAUCAUACUGUAAAAUUUAUAAUAAUAAUAAAAUAAUUAUUUUGACUUCAAAUUUUUUGUUCCAAAACCACUAUUCUGAUUUGACUAAAAAUGGGCUGUUACAAAUAGUGUCUGGUCAUUUAUUAGGGUUGAACGUACAUAACAAAUAGCUUGGUCAAGGCUUAAUAUACAUGUAUUCUCGAGUCUGCAACACAUUUUGGAGCUCGAAACUUACUAGAAAUAACCUGUAACCUCGUAUAUGAGACUUUCACUAAUUUCAUUAAGGUUUAAUCUCACAUUAUACCAUUUCGCAACAAUCUAUUUCAACCUGAUUCAAUUCUCAAUUUAGGUACUAAAUCAUAGUCAAUUCAAUAUAUCAAUAAAACAUUAAUGAACAUAAAGAUGAAGCUCAAUAGUAAUUUAAACUAUAUGAACUUACCAAGGCUAAUAGCAAAAGUAGAAGUGCCAAGGACUAGUCUGUAAAUUUCCUUUUUCCCCGAUUGUCAAUCGUCUUGUUUAAAUCUUGAUCUAUAAUAUAUAUUUAUUUCAAUUUAAUCACUAAAAUAUCAUAAUACAUCCUAUUACAAAUAUAUGUAAGCUCAAUUUUAUCUUUCAGUUAUUUCUUCAAGUUUUACAUGUUAUUCAAUUUAGUCCCUAAAAUCAAACUUAUCAUAACUUCCAAAUUUGGACUCCAAAUCUUAAACCAACUUCAAUAUAUCCAAUAACGGUCCUAUUAUAAAAAAUUACAGAAAUUAGAUGUCAAUUUCAAGAUAUUAACAAUUUAGUCUUUAUGUUCAAAACUAACAAUUUCCACUUCACAAACUUGGUUUUUUUUUCAUUUCUAAGAUUCAAAUCUAACAACUUAACAUUAAAAUCUUCAAAUAUCAACAAUGGUAACAUUUUGAAACAAUAGCAGUUUUAAAAGCAAACAUACAAAUUAACUAAAUGAGUUGCAACAAUCCCGAAAACAUAAAAUUUACGAGAAAUGGAUGAAAAAUGACCUACCAUGCAUAAAGCUAAAGUUGGCCAAAUGUUGAAGCUUUAUCAAUGGCUUCUCAAGGUUUCAUUCUUUCCACAAUGAAGAAGAACAAAAAGGAAAUGGAUGAUGAAUUUUAAUUUUAACUUAUAUAGAUAGUUUAUUAAUUAAUUAAUCCUAAUUUACUUAAUUAAUCAUAAUUUAUUAACAAUGGAUGAUAGUUGUCUACCACUAUACUAAAAAGGGUCAAAUUCCUCAAUUGGUCUUUCAGUUAAUUAAAAUUUCAUAACGAUUAACUUUUACCAUUUUUACAGUUUAAUCAUUGUACCUCAAUUAGUCACUAAUUCAGUAAAAUUACCUAUCCAAAAUUCAAUUCACCUAUAUAAUCACUCUAUAAAUAUUUAAUAAAAACAUUUUCAAGCUCAGUUUAUGAAAACGAGGCCUCGAUACCUUAUUUUCCAAAACCACUUGACUUUAGGACUGAAAUAUUAUAUCAAAAUUAUCAUAUCAAAAUGCACUAUAUCAUUUUACUGGACUCGUAAAUAUUAAAUAAUAAUAUUUACGGACUCACUAGUUGAAAUUGUGAUCCUGAAACCACUGUUUUUGACACCACUGAAAAAUGGGUUGUUACAUUCUAAGUUUGAAUAAUUUAUCUUUAAAUUGUAAGAAUGCUAAUUAGGUGGAUGGUAUAGGAUGUUACACUUAGUUUCUUUUAUUUCAAAUUUUAGAACCCAUAACGUAAGUAGACAAAUCCUUUAGCUAACCCUACUUUUAGGCACUCAAAUGCUUUCACACAUGCAUUUUAAUUCACAUUUUGAAUUAGGCCUUAUACACAUUUUCAGUGUUCAAUUUUUUCUUUCUCCAUAUCAUAGUCAUUUCUAUAUUUUUAUCUUGUAUCGACUCUUGAUGACAUUACGCAAGACUUUACAUUUUAACAUAUUUUUUUGCCAUAAUUGCUUUAUCCAGUCUUUCCAUGAUGUCAACAUGGUUCAUACAUGUGCAUACAUACCUUAUCAAGUUUUAAUUUCUUCCAUGAAACCUUAGUAUCAUUUUCAUAUAAUUGACUAACAAGACAUCACAUAGCAACUCAUAAUUUCUCUUUCACAUUUUAAUUUUAUUUUAUAUAACAUUAUACCAUUGAAUUUCAUAUUAUCAUUAACAUAAUUAAACACUUAAUUAUAUCAUCAGUUUCAUAGUUUCCUAAGCUUACUAACUUAGAAGAAAUUAGAGUAUCCAAGGUAUUUACCUUAAUUGAUGCUCUACAAUACUUAAUCAAGUUCCAUGUAUUCCAAUUCAUCAAUAAAGCUUGAAAACCGAUGUCCUCAUUUCCAUACAACAAAAAUACAUUAAAAGAUUAAUAUAAAUUUUUUCAAAACUUUUCUCAUAACAUUUCACAACAAGUAUCAAGCUAGUAGAGAUGUAGGAAGUCAUUUCUUAUCUUAUUGAAGCUUUCUCACUCUAGCUUCAACUCUCUUACUAAAAAUCCAUAAACCCUAGGCUGUCAUUGAAGAAAUUGAUAGACGAAUUGAGCUUAGGAGAUUGUUUCCAUGGACAUUUUGACAAAAUCUCAAGGUUGAAGGUGAAGCUUUUGAGAGAAAAUGAAAAAAAAAAGUGAGGAAAAUGAAAAAGGAGAAGAAAGAGACCUAUGAAGGUUGCUGCCAGCUGGAGAAGAGGAGAAUGAAAGUUGAUAGCUACCUCUAUGGAUCCCAUUUAAAAUGACCAACAACAAGCCCAACUGAUCCAAGUCUAAUUUGUGAAAUUGUGGCCUGAUUUUUUAAUACAAGGUUCUAAUUAUAAAAAAAUAAUUUUGAACAUCAAAUACCAUAUUAGAUAUUAUUUCCAUUACAAAAGUCUUGAGAAAUGACUAAAUUAUCCUUCUAUUACAAAAUUAUCAUUUUGGACCAAGCUCGAGCCUAGAAAAUGGGCUUAAAAUUUUGCAUCGAUCUGGCCUGGCCCAUGAUUAAGUCUAGUAUCAAAUAUGAAAAUCAUAUUAUUUUAAAGAGUCUAAAAUUAUUUUUUAUGCAUAUUAAAUUUUAUUUUACAUAAUAUCAAGAUGUUUAAAUUUUAUAGGUAGAUUAUUUUAUCUUUGCUUUCACAAAUCCAAAUUGACCUCAAAAUAAAUUUCACUUUUUUUAAAUAUAUAUUAAUAAUAUAUGUAGAAUAACGUAAAAUUAAGGAAAAAAUUGAAAGAAAGAGUAUAUUAUAGAGCCUUAAGAACGAGAGAAAACAAGAAGCGGACGAAGUCAUAGUCGACUACCAAGAGGUUGGAAACCAACAUUCAAUAAGGUAUUGCAGAUGUUGUCAUAGAAGUUGUUUUAGGCAUAGACAAGCCUAGAUCCUGGAAAGAUCACCUCGUUGGAACAGGCCUAAGAGCCAACGAUAAAGCUGAAACGUUAACCAAAGAUGAGGAUAACGACGACUUAGAUUUACUUGAUGAAGACAUUAUGAGAUCGAUGGUAAAUGGCAUACCAGAAAUUGACAUAUCUGAUAGGGUUAAUCAAUUACUCAUAAAAGAUAUAAAACAUACGGUGAUAAUAAAACUCCUAGAAAGGAACAUUGGAUACGCAACUCUGCAAAAUAAGAUUCAUUCUUGAUAGAAACCAAGUCAACCAUUCCGAUUAAUGGAUAUCGAGAACGUUAUUACCUGGCUAAGUUCCAAAACCCUGGAGAUUUCGAGAAAGUACUAAGUCAAGGGCUCUGGAUAGUUUAUGGCCAGUACCUAACUAUUCAACCCUAAAGUAUUAAAUUUAACCCCUUGCAGCCUUACCCGAAUAUGGUUAUGGCAUGGAUAUGAUUACUAGGAUUGCCUGGACAUAUGUACAAAAGGAAAAUACUCUGGAAAAUAGGGGGAAUGAUAGGAAGGGUUGCAAAUUUAGAAUUUAAUACCGAUAAUGGAGUUCGGGCAAGAUUUGCAAGAAUUGUGGUUUACAUUAAUCUUGGAAAGGCUCUUAUAUCUCAAGUUCUAAUCAACGGAGUAUUGUAGAGAAUCGAAUACUAAUACCUCCCCAUAGUAUUCUUUUCUUGCAGCCAUUAUGGAUAUACGCAAGAUAUCUGCCAAAAAUCAACGAUUGAACAACAAGUGAUAAAAGGAAGCAUCGCUGAGGAAGGAAGAAUUUAGAAGACCAAGCCUAUACCAGGGACAAGUAACUCCACGACUAACUCCAACGCUUAUGGUCCAUGAAUGAUCCUUGAAAAAUAGAAUCGGCGAUGCUCAACAGAGGGGAAUGCCAUGAACUGUGCAACCAGAAAGAAAACAUAAGAAAAUAUUCGGUUUCAACCUUUGAAAACCCUAAACAAGAAAGUGGGUCCACAAGAGAGUAGGCCCACAAAGGAAAAUAACAUGUCCCAAAAGGAAAUAGGGUUUGUAUUGGACCAAACCACUGCAAAAAGAGGAUCUCCCCUCAUAGGCCACUUACAAAAAUGGCCUGGUAAGGAGAGUAUAACUUAUCCAAACUUAGGCAAACAGAAACGAACCAAAAAGAAAGAGCCCAACACACUUUCUAAAGGAAACCAGAUUAGGUUUAACCUAGAGAAACAAGGCCAUUCAGGCCCGAUGCAACUAGAGCCUAAAGAAAGAAUGGGAAAAAAAAACUAACCUAGCAGAAAAUGGCACAAGGGAAGAAGUACAAGUAGCGGUAGCCUUGUCCACACUACAAUCAGAAGGGGAACCGGUGACGGACGCGACGGCGGCCAAAGCGCAUAUCUAGACGCAAUGGGGAUAGAUCAUAGAGGACAUCCAUAGCGCACAACCAACAAAAAUUUCUGGGCCACAAACCAAUCAUCGAUUCAACACCAAAAAUCUGCCGGAGGUUGCAGUAACCCUUUCUAAAGGAAUACUAGAUCCAACCAAACACUCAGUAGUGGUUUUUAAAAAAUCUGGUGACCCUAGAGGAAAACAGAAGGAGUCUUUGGCAUUUAAAAAUGCUAUGGGUGGACAAGUGAAUGCUCUUACCCGGUGAACCAGUAUGGAGAAAAUGAAUGGAACAAAGGGCCAAAAAUUUAAAAGAAUUAUUCGGGAUAAAGAAAGCCUCUUCAAAGUUACAUAUUUCAAAGUCCCACUAUCAGAUUCAAUUACCAACAUGGUUGAACUGCUACAAGAACAAGUUAAAUAAGGUCUUCUCAACAAAAUAAAUGAGGAAGAAGCCGGGAACGAAGACAGCAAAGGCGUCAUACGGUAGCAAAAAUAAAUUGGGUAUUAUUCUUCUAAAUCUUUCAUGAUGAAUUCUAAUUUUAAUUUAUCACUUUUCAUUUAGAAUUGUCAAAUAUGUGCAAGUGCUAAAUUUCCACGCAUCUUCAGAGAGUAUAAUAUGGAUUUUAGACUAGACAUUGUAGGCCUUUUAGAACCAAGAGUGAGUGGUAUCAAGGCAAUGAAAUAAUUGCUAAGCUAUGCCUUCACCACUCCCAUCGAAUUGAAGCGAGAGGUUUCUCAAGGGGAAUUUGGAUCGGUUGGAGGGAUACAAUUUGACUUGAAAUUGUCCAAAACCAUCCCCAAUUUAGUCUUGUUAAGAUAUAUAAUGGGGGCUAAUACAACCCAUCCUAGUUGUUAUUGUCUACUGGAACCCCAAUGGUACAAAGAGGAAGAGCUUCUAGGAAGCUUUAAUAGUAACUAUAUUGCCUGAUAGUACCUUGGAUGAUAAUAGGUGAUUUUAGCACUAUUUUCUCCUAAGAAGGCAAAAAAGGUUGCAGUACCGUAGGAAAAAGUUGCCCACAUUUCAGAGAAUUCAUUGAAUCUACAAACCUACAAGAUCUGGGAUUUCAAGGGCCCUCAUUUACUUGGCAAAGAGGAGGAGUCUUCGAAGGAUUGGAUAGAGCAAUAGGAAAUGAAGCUUGGUGCCAAUCAUUUCCCCAUUGUUUAGCAACACAUCUAACUCAAAUAAAAUCAGACCAUAUGCCGUUGCUUGUUAACAUUAACUCGGACUUAAAAAUCCCUAAAGGAUAGCAUUUCAGGUUUCUUGCUAAAUGGGCACGGCACCAAGACUUCCCAAACAUAGUUAAAAGAUUAUGGAGCUACAGGGAAUACAUGCAUAUCAACUUAGAUCAACUCACCGUAGGCCUUAAAGUUUGGAACAAAAACGUAUACGGACACAUUGGGACUCGCAAACAGAAGCUAAUGAAAUCUUUAAGCUCGGUACAAACGAAGCUUGAAAGAUCAUAUUCGAACUCCUUGUAAAUUGAUAUAGUGGAUAGGAAUACAUUUGUUUUUCACAGUUGAACAAUGCACAGAAGAAAAAUUAAUCGUAUUACCGUGGCCUGCAACAUAAAUACAGAAUGGCUAUUUGACCCAGAGGACAUACAAGAAUAAGUUGUUAAUUACUUUUAAAAACUAUAUGGCGAAAAACCAAACAGAUAGGGAGAGUUACCUCCAAGUUGCUUUCUUCCACUAGAACACAGUGACAUUGAUUUUAAAAAAGAGGUCACAAAUGAAGAAAUCAAAUCAGCACUUUUUGACAUGGCUCCUCUGAAGCACCUGAAAGUGAUGGAUAUCACGCGUUUUUCUUUCAAAACCAAUAGGAUAACAUAGGAGGAGUAGUAAGUGAUUGGGUCAAAGACGUAUUCAAUGGGUGACCCAUCAACCAAGAACUCAACAACAUAUUAAUCAUCCUAAUCCCAAAG